UUGUCAGGCUCUGAACUUUAGGGCAGAUUAUAGCGUGAUGAUUGGAGUUCAGUGAUAUGUGAUUAAUGUCUCUGUGGAAUCAGGACUCGCAAAACCUGAUUGCUCCUAUCUGAU